UCGAGGGGGAUAACUACUGGAAACGGUCUCUAAUACCGCAAACUCCCUACAGGGGAAAGGGGGGGACCUUCGGGCCUUGCGCGAUUGGAUGAACCCAGGUGGGAUUAUCUAGUUGGUGAGGUAAUGGCUCACCAAGGCGACUAUCCCUAUCUGGUCUGAGAGGAUGAUCACCCACACUGGAACUGACACACGGUCCACACUCCUACGGGAGGCAGCAGUGGGGAAUAUUGCACAGUGGGGGAAACCCUGAUGCACCCAUGCCGCGUGUGUGAAGAAGGCCUUCGGGUUGUAAAGCACUUUCAGCGAGGAGGAAAGGUUGGUAUCUAAUAACUGCCAGCUGUGACGUUACUCGCAAAAAAAGCACCGGCUAACUCCGUGCCAGCACCCGCGGUAAUACAGAGGGUGCAAGCGUUAAUCGGAAUUACUGGGCGUAAAGCGCACGCACGCUGUUGGAUAAGUUAUGAUGUGAAAGCCCCGGGCUCAACCUGGGAAUUGCAUUUAAAACUGUCCAGCUAGACUCUUGUAGAGGGGGGUAGAAUUCCGUGUGUAGCUGGUAAAAUGCGUAGAUAUCUGGAAGAAUACCGGUGGCGAAGGCGGCCCCCUGGACAAAGAAUGACGGUCAGGUGCGAAAGCGUGGGGAGCAAACAGGAUUAGAUACCCUGGUUGUUCACGCCGUUAACGAAGUUGAUUUGGAGGGUGUGUCCCUGAGACGUGGCUUCCGGAGGUAACGCGUUAAAUUGACCGCCUGGGGAGUACGGCCGCAAGGUUAAAAAUCAAAUGAAUUGACGGGGGCCCGCACCAGCGGUGGAGCCUGUGGUUUAAUUUGAUGCAACGCGAAGAACCUUACCUGGCCUUGACAUUUCUGGAAUCUUGUAGAGAUUCGGGAGUGCCUUUGGGAAUCAGAACACCGGUGGUGCAUGG
rnacentral:rRNA from 1 species